rnacentral:misc_RNA from 1 species
AACAUCGCGCACCUGCGGGAACCUGCGGAAGGAUCAUUACCGAGUUUACAACUCCCAAACCCCUGUGAACAUACCAAUUGUUGCCUCGGCGGAUCAGCCCGCUCCCGGUAAAACGGGACGGCCCGCCAGAGGACCCCUAAACUCUGUUUCUAUAUGUAACUUCUGAGUAAAACCAUAAAUAAAUCAAAACUUUUAGCAAUGGAUCU